AAUGAUCUCACAAAUCACACAAACCAAAUCAAAUUUUAAAAAUCGCAAUAGUAUCGAAAUCAUUGUGAGAUAAGGGUGAGGAUCUGCAGUGACUUGACUGCUCGUGUUAUGAUUAUUACUGGGAUUUCUGUCUUUCCAUUGAUAUAGCACUUCAUAAGAGGGUACUUCAUGAUUUAUUCUUAAUCAGAAAGACACAACGAAUGUGUCCAGAUAUAGGGACAACACAGUUUGUGUUGUUUCUAACACAUUCAUUUUAAGAGUGUAGGAACCUCAAAUUUAUCUCUUUAACGUGUUUCUGGCAUCACUGUACUUGAUACAUCGUAGCUUUCUGUGUGGAGUUGGGGCCCCAUGCUGUCAACAGUCUGAGUCCACCACUGGUAUUGACCACUCUAAAACACCAUGAACACCAAAUAUCUGCAAAUGGCUGAGACUGAAUAGAAAAGUGAAUUGUUGACACAGACAUGGAGGUCACACAUUCAGAAGCUUGCAGCUAAAAGAUCCGUUACAGAGGGGACCAGAGUCAACCAGUGCUAGUUCUCACUCGUUCUGCCAAACGUGAUAGUCUGCUGAAAGAAGAAACAACAAGGGUGUUCUUUGCAUAUUUUGCAUUUACAAAUUCCUGCAAAGUGCGUAUUUUGCUCAAAAUGCUUAGUUUAUGUCUUAAAAACAAGUAUUUAAGUCAAUGAAACUGUCAGUGCAAUCAGAAUGACAAGCCCUUACGCCAUUGUUUAUGAACAAGAUAGUCCAACUGCUUUGUCAUGUUGUCAAUAUGGCAGUUCACUGUAAAUGUUUUCUAUUUAUUUCAACUACAAAGUUACUCAUUAAUGUAUGUGUUUGUGUCAAGGCUGCAAUCAUAAUAUACGUUGCCCCCCUAAUACUAAGGCAUAAAAUGUUACAGUAUCACUCAAUGUUGUCCCAUAUAAUCAUAAAUAAUCAAUGUUUCAAACUGUAAAA